rnacentral:rRNA from 1 species
CUACGGGCGGCUGCAGUGAGGAAUAUUGCACAAUGGGGGGAACCCUGAUGCAGCAACGCCGCGUGGAGGAUGACGCAUUUCGGUGUGUAAACUCCUCUUAUAUGUCAAGAAAAUGACGGUAGCAUAUGAAUAAGCACCGGCUAACUCCGUGCCAGCAGCCGCGGUAAUACGGAGGGUGCAAGCGUUACUCGGAAUCACUGGGCGUAAAGGACGCGUAGGCGGGUUGGAAAGUCAGGUGUGAAAUCCUACAGCUUAACUGUAGAACUGCACUUGAAACUUCUAAUCUAGAGUAUGGGAGGGGGAGAUGGAAUUAGUGGUGUAGGGGUAAAAUCCGUAGAUAUCACUAGGAAUACCUAAAGCGAAGGCGAUCUCCUGGAACAUUACUGACGCCAAGGCGUGAAAGCGUGGGGAGCAAACAGGAUUAGAUACCCCGGUAGUC